CACUCCCCCGCGCUGGGCGGGAGGGUCCGUGACUCAGCGCCAGCUCCGGGCCCGGGGGCCGCGCCUCGUCAAAGCGACCCUCCGCCUCCCGCCUUUCAGCCGCCGCGAGCCGAGGGGCUCGGAGCGGGGAGCGCCGCCCUCACGGGCUCCCCCCCGGGCUGCCUCAGCAGACAUGAAACAGCGCAGCCGGGGCGGGGAGCCCUGCCCUGCCCUGGAUCCCGGCCUCCACAGGAACCAGCAGCGGCCGUUUAAACCCGUGUCACGGCCACAAGCUUGAGCCUCCAGCUUUUCCCCACGUGGCAGGAUAAUGGCUCGGCCGCCGCUGGGCCUGCGAGCGCGCGAGGCGCUGAGGAGACGAGAAGCGAAUGACUCCGACAGCGACACCGAGAGCGCGUCUCGGUUCGUUACACGUUACACACCUGUUGCACAAGAACGUCCUUCCAAACCCGCUGCCCUGGAGCGAGGCUCUUCCUGGACAGCUUAGUUCAGCUUCACCCAUAGCGUGAGGGGAAGAAAGAAUAAAAUCACCCAACUCUGAUACUAGAACUCUGGUACCUGCACUUUAUAGACUCAUAGAAGACUGCUAGGUAUUUAAAAGAGGAUUAGGGAACACUGCAAACAGCUGAGCUAAUCUAGGAACAGUCAUUGAAGGAUAUAUUUUCACAUGAGGAGAAUAUAUUUUCUAGUUUCAUGUACUUAGGAGAAAUAAAACCAAUAAACCCAUGGACAGGGCUGAUGCAUAAACACUUUCUCUACCAAAAAAAGGAACGAGAGAAGCAACUGCAAGAAUUUUCUUAAACUUUUAGCUGAAUGGCAUCGAUAGCAAUCGUUCACCCUUUGGUCUGUUCCUGUAUGGCUGCGAGGGCUUGACAGGACAAAAGUGCAUGGUCAGUACCGAUUUGAUUGCAAGAAUACUCGUGACAAGAAGUCAUGAGCUGCAUCUCAGCCUUUAAGAAAGUAAGGAACCUUGAGCAGAUUGUCACAUCCAGAACAAGGAUUACUGGGCCACAGACUGAAAUUUGGUUGCUGGCUGAAGGUUGUUAAAACCCUGCUUACUGGAAACCCCUUUUUUUUGCCCCUAGAAAUCAGAGUCCACACAAAGUUCCAAGAAAGCUCUCUCUCCAUAUCUUUCUAAAUAAAAUUUUCUUCUUUCAAAUA